rnacentral:lncRNA from 1 species
GAACCAUCCCAAGCCCUCCCGAAUCUUCUUUUCUCUGCUCUUCUUACUGCCUCUCCCUCUGCCGCCUCUACCUCCAUCCCCGCCUUCUCCUCCUCUUCUCCCUCCCGUUCUUCUACCUCCUCCUCUCCCCUUCCUCCUCUAGCACCGCCAUCGGCUGUUCAUCUCCUUCUUCACUUUCUUUCUACCCUGACCUUCUCCUCCAUCCUCCUCCUCAUCCUCGCCCUCUCCCUCAAUGCCUUCUCUUUUCUCUCCAUGGGGAGCCAUUCGGUGAUCGUCUAAGCUUCCCAGUGAUCAUCUAAGCUUCCUUGUGAUCA